UACGUAGGGUCCGAGCGUUAAUCGGAAUUACUGGGCGUAAAGCGUGCGCAGGCGGUUUUGUAAGCCAGAUGUGAAAUCCCCGGGCUCAACCUGGGAACUGCAUUUGGGACUGCAAGGCUAGAGUACGGCAGAGGGGGGUAGAAUUCCUGGUGUAGCAGUGAAAUGCGUAGAUAUCAGGAGGAAUACCGAUGGCGAAGGCAGCCCCCUGGGUCGAUACUGACGCUCAUGCACGAAAGCGUGGGGAGCAAACAGG
rnacentral:rRNA from 1 species